rnacentral:rRNA from 1 species
AUACGUAGGUGGCAAGCGUUGUCCGGAAUUAUUGGGCGUAAAGCGCGCGCAGGUGGUUCCUUAAGUCUGAUGUGAAAGCCCCCGGCUCGACCGGGGAGGGUCAUUGGAAACUGGGGAACUUGAGUGCAGAAGAGGAUAGUGGAAUUCCAAGUGUAGCGGUGAAAUGCGUAGAGAUUUGGAGGAACACCAGUGGCGAAGGGGACUGUCUGGUCUGUAACUGACACUGAGGCGCGAAAGCGUGGGGAGCAAACAGGAUUAGAUACCCUGGUAGUCCACGCCGUAAACGAUGAGUGCUAAGUGUUGGGGGGUUUCCGCCCCUCAGUGCUGCAGCUAACGCAUUAAGCACUCCGCCUGGGGAGUACGGUCGCAAGACUGAAACUCAAAUGAAUUGACGGGG